rnacentral:rRNA from 2 species
UACGUAGGGACCGAGCGUUAUCCGGAAUCAUUGGGCGUAAAGAGCUCGUAGGCGGUUCAGAAAGUCGGCUGUGAAAGUCCAAGGCUCAACCUUGGAAAUGCAGUCGAGACUUCUGUGACUAGAGUCUGGUAGAGGAGAAUGGAAUUCCCGGUGUAGCGGUGGAAUGCGCAGAUAUCGGGAGGAACACCAGUAGCGAAGGCGGUUCUCUGGGCCUCGACUGACGCUGAGGAGCGAAAGCAUGGGUAGCAAA